rnacentral:rRNA from 1 species
UACGGAGGGUGCGAGCGUUAUUCGGAAUCACUGGGCGUAAAGCGCGCGUAGGCGGUUUGUUAAGUGGGAUGUGAAAUCCCCGGGCUUAACCUGGGAAUUGCAUUUCAAACUGGCCGACUAGAGUACGGUAGAGGGAGGUAGAAUUUCCUGUGUAGCGGUGAAAUGCGUAGAUAUAGGAAGGAAUACCAGUGGCGAAGGCGGCCUCCUGGAUCGAUACUGACGCUGAGGCGCGAAAGCGUGGGGAGCAAACAGG